AUACCAAGGUUGAAAGGACAUGUAUUUUUGUGCUUGCAGAAAAAUACAUGGAUUUUCAACCUGCCAAAACAUGAGGAAGAAGUGGCUUGCCACGGAUUCCGAAUGUUUUUCAGAUUUCGAAAGUGCGAAGCACGUAGAAAUCUGUGGUAU
rnacentral:sRNA from 1 species